rfam:Nocardioides luteus strain BAFB contig00019, whole genome shotgun sequence.
CGGGCUGGCCGGGCGAUCGCGUCGUUCCUUCGGGGACGUCGAGGAAAGUCCGGGCUCCACAGGACAGGGUGGUGGCUAACGGCCACCCGGGGUGACCCGCGGGACAGUGCCACAGAGAACAGACCGCCGCUGCCUCCCAGGUAGCGGUAAGGGUGAAACGGUGGGGUAAGAGCCCACCAGUCCUCGUGGUGACACGAGGAGCUAGGUAAACCCCACCCGGAGCAAGACCAGACAGCAUGCGCUCGAGGGCUGUCCGCCCGAGCAUGCGGGUAGGUCGCUGGAGGCCAUCGGCAACGAUGGUCCGAGAUGGAUGGUCGCCGAUCACAGAACCCGGCUUACAGGCCAGCCCGUCCG